AAUGAGGAGCGGAGGACAUGUGGGAGCAGAGCAGUAGCACAAGCUCGGCACCCAAACGAUUACUCCCUCUACUCCGAGCUUGACAGUCUGUUCGUCAAGGUUGGCGUGCUUCUUUUGGAUAGGAUCGUGCAUAGGUGCAUCGAGUCGAGCAAGGGUUAGAUUAUCAAAGGCAGAUGUUUCUGUCAAGAUUCAACAUCAAGGAGCCGAAUAACUGAUGAUGGUUGAUUCGCAGAACUAAAGUCCCGGUUAGCUUUCUAGCAUGUUUCUCUGAUUCACUAUUUUUUACUUUUAGAUCCUGCAUGUGGAUUAAU